rnacentral:rRNA from 1 species
AUGUGGAGUGGCGCCUGGUCGGGAGCGCGCCAUGGCGAGGUGAGCAGGAGGCGGGCGCUGGCUCGCUGGAGAAGGAGGAGAGGGAGGACGCGGCGGCCAGAGGAGUUGAUGGCGACGGGCGGUGCAGGAGGAUGGCCGAGGUGCACGGAGCAGCGACGGUCGCCGGAGGCGAGGACGCGGGGUCGGCGUGGACACGCGCCCAGGGCGGCGGCGGACCGGAGAGUUGCUCUUGCUCUCCCUCUGUCUGUAGAUGCGGCGCAGGAGAAGGAAGAGAUGGGAUCGAGGGAGAGGAAGGUUCGGUCGUGGAGGCUUCUGGCGGCGCGAGGAAAGAGGGACGAAGGAGGAGGGGGGGGAUCGAGGAGAUGGGCUCUCUCCCUGCGCUAG